ACAGAUGGCACGCUCCUCUCAGUGCAAGCUUUGACUUUCAUAAUACUUCAUGGCUUGGCCAAAUAGCAGUUGCAUAGUCCCCACAUGAGAAGCUGCUCAAGGGGCUCCUUGCAAAGAGAGAGGAUCAACUGUACCCCCUGAGGAUCCUCCCAAGUUACUAUCUGCAUCGGGAGUGCUGGCAUGAUCUUGUUCCUUGGAUGCUCCUAACUACAGUUUUGUUUCCUAGAUUGCAAGUCUGGUCUUGAUAGGAUCAAAACACACACUCUGAAUGUUUGCAAGAUGAGCACAAGACCUUUGUAAGAACCAGACAGGGAGGUCUUUAUUAUGAAGAGAAGAAUCAUUUUAUGUUUGGUCAAAGCUGUUGGUGGAGUGGUCCAAGCCUCCUGUGGAUGAAACACACCCAGCCAAACGCAGGCCAAGUGUCCUUACCUGUGCAGCCCCUCCUGUAGCAAAGGUAGCAGUUGCAGCUCCAAACACGGAACUCCUCACAGAGCUGAGCCCAGCCCUGGAGUGUACACAGAUCACCAGGACUUCUGCUGGCUGGGCUCUGCUGUGCACCCCAUCCCUUCCACUAGGGAGCCAUGGCAUCCAGUGUCCUCACUUGUGCAAGCUUCCUCUUCAUGCUCUCCUAACAUUCCUGGUCCCAGAACAGCCCCUGCUGCUGAUUUCUCCAGAAGAGCUGGGUUCGUGCCCCAUCCAGGCCUGCUUAGGGGGCUGAACCACUGCUGAGUUCCCCGACUCUUUUGGUACAGAUCUUCAGCUGAGUCUGAGAAGAAGUGCUGAGCCAUCUCCUGGGGCUCGCCUGGUGUGCAGUCUUCGUGUUGAGCCUCUUCAGUGGAUGUGCAAUUGCCAAGGCAGCCAUCUGGUGAGGUGAAAAGAAGCUGCCAGGACAAGAGCUGCAGCUCUGCCACACAUCACAACAGAGGUUCAAGGCAAACUGGAUGCAUGCAGCCAAACUGAAUCCUUUAAAAUUAAUCUGUUGAAAGACCUGCAGUGAGAGGCUGACAGGCAGUAGUUAUGGUGAUGGCUGAAGUGUGGUUGAGGGUGCUGCAAUUGCUGCUCAUGCAGAGAGCAGAUAAAUCCCUCAGAUGUGCAGGUUGCCAAGAACUGACAUCUUUUGUAAACAGCAUCUCUCAGUUUUGCCCCAGAGAUGUCCAGCUUCGGCAUGACAUGGAAGAAAGCCGAGAGAAGAGAUGGGGAGAGAGGGAAAAGAAAGGAGCAGCAUAAAACAUCUGUGAAACUGAAGGAAGCAGCUUCUAGUGUGGAUGGGUUCCUGUGCAAACCGUCAGAGCUGAAGUGGGAGAGAAAACCUCCAAAGCUAGAGGUAAGGGUAAAGAGAUGUUGCAUCACUUCUCCUAGUCUAGGCUUCUUUGCUGGGCUUCUUGCAGUUUCAGAGGACAUGCUUAAGUGGGUAGGAAUUGCUGCCAGUCUGCACACAGCCUGCUCUCUACCUUGGCCUCUUAGUCAGGAGUGUUAGAGCAAUCUGCAGGAAGAUGGAGGUGAUGAAUGGCACAGCAACUUCCAGCUGUGCAGAGAGGUGGAGGCAGAUUUUCUUACUCAGGACCCUUUGUCCUGCCCCAGAGAUGAUGUAUAUAGUGGCAGGAACUUUGGAAAAAGGGCUUGGCUUGGCUUGCAUUUAGCUUCCAGUUCCUUGGUGUGGCAUGCUCAUGGAGGCCUCCAAGAUCCCAGAAGAGGUGGGAAAAGUGAGGGGCGGGCAUGAUGGUGACAGCAGCCAAGGACUGACUUCCCACAGAGGAAUCCCUCUGGGAGUGCAGAGGUGCCCUAUAGUGUCACAUUCAGCACCCUUAGCUCAGGGCUGGCAGUGCCACUGUUUUUCUGUUGCUGUCCUGAAUGGCAGCUGCUGCCCUUUAUUUCAAGGAGGAAAAAUAGUGAGAGACCCUCACUGCCCCAGGGAACCUGGCAGACCUGCUUCCCCUUACCUCUGUCCUCCCUCCUCCUAAAAUUUUGGAAUUAAGUUCUAGUAUCUCAUAAAACAUCACGCUUAUAUCAUAACUUCAGUGUGCAGAGAGCCCAUGCAGGGGCCGGGAUGCAUACAAAUUGCUGCUCUAAAUCUCCAGCUACAAUAAGGAAACGUCAGAUGGUGGCAGUUUACUUGAUAAAUACCUAAUAUAGCUUAAAUAAUUAUUUAAUGCAGACAAAUGGAAAAAGAGAGCAUCUAUGUGCUGUGUUAUAAUAAACUACAGCUCGUGACUUGUUGAGCGGUGAGAGCAGCAGCUCCAGUAAAGGGCUCUACCACGGCCAGGGCAGGAGGACUCAGGCUGAGUAUUGGCUGUGGGAAGGUCCUGCCAGG